ensembl:lincRNA
GAAGGGAUGAAGAGAUGCCCUUGUUUCCAGACUUGUCUAUCAUUCUUGAAGGAACAGAUGGGCUCCGGAGCUGGGGAAUGUGAACUACCACUCCUGAUGGCUCUGGUCACAUUGAUGACUUUGUUCUUGCCUUACACUUCAGAGCCCAGUGGUUACAGUGGCAAUGGGAGUGUAUGUCCCAGCACAAGGCAUUGCAGACCCUCCCACCUUAGCAGAAUAUAGUUCUUCCUCUGCUCCAUAAGGACUUGGAAUUCCCCAACCUGACUAGUAGAGUGGCAAUAACCAGACUCCUGUGUUUGUUGGGAGAGUUCAGAGUUCCUGAGAAACAGGUUCCCUUGAAGCCCUGCUUCCCUGGGGAAUUGGACCUGAGGCUACCCUGCCUCUGUGUCUCCACAGCUGGUGAUGAAAUGCAUGAGACCAGAAGAUGUGUCGGUGCUGUACAUCACUCAGGCCCAGGAAAUGGAGAAGCAGGGCAAGUACUGUGAGGCUGAAAGGCUCUAUGUGACAGUAGAAGAGUCUGAUCUUGCCAUCACCAUGUACAAAAAGCACAAGCUGUAUGAUGACAUGAUCCGCCUGGUUGGGAAGCACCAUCCAGAUCUCUGCAGUGACACACACCUACAUCUGGGCAAGGAGCUGGAGGCUGAAGGCCGACUACAGGAGGCCGAGUACCACUACCUCGAGGCCCAGGAAUGGAAGGCAACAGUGAACAUGUACCGAGCCAGUGGGUUUUGGGAAGAGGCCUAUGGGGUAAGGAAUUCAGGCCACACUGAGGGAUACAUGCAUCCUUUAUUCCCACAUUUUUUUUUCUUUUUUUUCUUUUUUCAGACAGGGUGUCACUGUCACCCAGGCUGGAGUGCAGUGAUGAAAUUACAGCUCACUGCAGCCUUGACCUUCUGGGCUUAAGCAAUGGAUCCUCUCACUUCAACCUCCUGUGUAGCUGGGACUACAGGCAUGCACACCACACCUGGCUAAUUUUUAACUUUUUUUAUAGAGGCAGGUUUUCACCAUGUUGCCCAGGCUGGUCUUGAAUCCCUGGGCUCAAGCAAUCUACCUGCCUUGGCCUCCCAAAGUGUUGAAUUACAGGCAUGAGCCACCAUCCAGCCCUCUUUCCCAUUUUAAGUGACUAAUUCACAAUCAGUCAGAGCAUCUUUGAAAAUGGAGUGAAGAUCAGAGUCUCUCUUGCCAGAACCACAUCCACAUCUAUAUACAGAAAAUGUCACAUAUAAUUUUAAGGGUCUGUGGCAGGUGAAGCCUAUCCUUGGACCCUAAGUACUUCAACCUAAGUUAAGAAACCCUGAGAUGUAGCCCUCUUCCUGUUAACUUUUUAUUUUAUUUUAUGAGACGGAGUCUCACUCUGUCACCCAGGCUGAAGUGCAGUGGCACAAUCUUGGCUCACCGCAGCCUCUAUCUCCCAGGUUCAAGCAGUUCUCCUGCCUCAGCCUCCCGAAUAGCUGGGACUACAGGCACUCACCAUGCCCAGCUAAUUUUUGUAUUUUUAGUAGAGAUGGGCUUUCACUAUGUUGGCCAGGCUGCUCUCAAACUCCUGGGCUCAAGUGAUCAGCCUGACUCUGCCUCCCAAAAUGCUGGGAUUACAGUCAUAAGCCACUGCACCCAGCCUCUCCCUGUUAAUUUAGAACAGUUACUGGAUCCUUGUCAAAGCCAAGGUCAGAGAUGAGACAAGAGCAACUCUGUAUUGGAGGAUUAUUGAGUGAGUUUGCUUUACACGUGGCCAUGACUCAAGGAAGGGCUAAUGCCUACAAACACGUGGCCUAUCUGUGGGCAAGGAGCCUGGGAGGAGAAGCUGCAGUUGGACUGCUUACCAAGCUGGGACUCCCAGAAGCUUCUGUUGACCAUGCUGCAGAUAAUUGGUGAGGCCCCAGACUUUCUCUCCACGAGCCCCAUCCCAGCCAGAGGCCCUCUCUAGAUAAAGAAAAUUGAUGUAUACCUGAAAAAUAUUUCUAGAAGCGGAGGCAAGAAUGAAGAAAUGUGGUAAACGAAGAUCCUUGGAAAGACAUGAUAGAGUGGCAAGAAUAAAUUAACUUCUUCUAUUCCCUAGGGGCUCAGAACAGUGUUUAAUUUUUGGCCGUUCUAAGAAGGAUGGAGAGGGAACAGACUGUAAAGCCAGCACUGCAGACUGCACUAAGCCAGUCACUUGCUUCUGGGUAGUGGAAGUGUGAUUCUGUCAAAUGCAAGGCGAACUUUUCUUUUUUUUGGAAGCACCAGAUCUCAUGAGGUAUUUUAUUUGUAAAAAGGUAUUACAUCUCUAGAAAAACAAUCCCAGGAUUUUCCGCCCAAUGCAUUGUUGUCUUGCUUCUUCAUGGUCCAUGAUGCCAGCUGAGGUUGUCAGUACAAUAAAACCAAACCGGUGGCCUGGCGUGGUGGCUCACGCCUGUAAUUCCAGCACUUUGGGAGGCCAAGGCGAGUGGAUCACGAGGUCCAGAGUUCAAGACGAGCCUGGCAAAUAUGGUGAAACCCCCGUCUCUACUAAAAAUACAAAAAUUAGCUGGGCAUGGUGGUGGGCACCUGUAGUCCCAGCUACCUGAGAGGCUGAGGCAUGAGAAUCGCUUGAACCUGGGAGAUGGAGUUUGCAUUAAGCCAAGAUCCUGCCAUUGCACUCCAGCCUGGUCAACUGAGUGAGACUCUAUCUCAACAACAACAAAAAAUCAAAUUGGCAGGAUGGGAGCAGAUUAUUCUGCCAUUUUUCUACAUCUCUGAGUUGCAUGUCGAAUCUGGGGCUAAUCACUCCACACUUGUUUAGCCUGCCUGUGAGGUUCACAACAAUUUUCCUAGCUCUGUGAUCAUCAGUGAUUUCAAAUCCGCCCAAUGUUACCAUAUUUCAUAAUCGCAGUUAGAAACCGGACAAUGACUUAGGGGCACAGCCUAAUAAGAAUCUGGUGUUUGUCUCUCUUUCUGGCAUUGCUGAUGCUCUUGAGAGCAUCAGCCAGAACAUUCAUGUGCACCAUUGUGGAGGCGCAGAAAGACGGCAGAAAGAGCAAAGUGAACUUUUCUUAAGCAACUGUUAUAAAUGCCAAUCGUGGAGUCCGAUGCUGAGGGUGAUCUUGCUCAGUUUUUGGAGAGACUGUGUUUCUGAUAAUGUAGCUGGGGCUCAGGAGGAGGUGGUGAGCACCAGGAGCCCUCCUGGCCCUGUCAGCAUAGGACUUCGAGGCUCACUCCUCCCUUCCCCUUCACAGGCCCAUUCUCCUUCCUCAGGAGCAGCUGGCCUUAGGGAAGGCAUAGGCUUUUCCAGACGUCUCUGGAUCCACGCUGACAGUGACGUGGUCUUCACAGGGCUGUCUGUCUUCCUUUUUAUCUCUGUGCUUUUCUGUCACUUCAUGUCUGUUAUCUUUAAACCUGUCACUUUUUCUCCCCUCAACCCUGUCCUUUCUCUGUUUUGUCUUGUCUUGUUCCUUUUAUGAAGGGAAGUGUGAAGUAAGAAAACUUUUUCUGCCCCUUCUGUUUCAGCUCCUUUGAAUUUGCUUUUGAACUCUCUCGGCUGGCCCUCAAGCACAAAACCCCCGAGAUCCAUCUCAAACACGCUUUGUACCUGGAGGAUGAGGUACGGGUGUUAUUUGGACCCUGACCGCAGAGCCCUCUUGUUCCAUCCCCUAGUGCACUGCUGCCUGGUGUGCAGACCCCGGUCUCAUGGCUGCCUGUGAUGCCAGUCUCCUUCCCAUCACGCACAGCUGUCCUUCUCCCUGUAGGUUAAAUUGGAAGAGGCUGAAGCUGAAUUCAUCAGAGCUGGUAAAACCAAGGAAGCAGUCCUCAUGUGAGUUACCCCAUACAUUCCUUAAUCCUGUUUCCCCAGUCCCAGUCCCAGAGUCUUUCAUGAUUAUCUUGACCUUCAUUCAAACCUAGAACAAAUCAGUGUUACACACCUCAGUGACAUGGCUGUUUGUCUCCUAGAAUUGGGGCCUCAGUCCUAUACUCAGUCUCUUCUCUGUCCCCAUCUGGGGGCAGGUUUGUCCAUAACCAGGACUGGGAGGCAGCUCAGCGUGUGGCCGAGGUUCACAUGAGGUGCUUGUGGGACAGGCUCGGAGGGCCUUGGAGGAGAAGGAC